AUGAUACAGGCAACUCAGUGCUUUAGAAACAUGACGUGGGCAGCUGCUAUAAAAGAUGGGUUAGAGAAAAAGAGACUGGAAGCAAGGAAUCUAAUUAAGAAGCUAUUUCAAGAGGGACAGAGGUUUUCAAUGAGGAAGAAACCAUUACCUUCCAAAGCAGCCCUUUCUACUUUUGUACAACUUUGAUUGAUAAGAAACAUUUCUCAUAUAAAGAAUUAUUCACUUUGUUAUGUGAAUAUGUUGGUUGUUGAAAAUAGCAGGAAAGUGACAUUUGUGUUCUAUAUGUCUAUAUGUGUGUAUAAAUUAAAAAACACUAACAGUUUCUCAGCAUUUUGCCCAGGGUGGGUAUAUAUCAAAAGGGCAGAGAAGAAGCUUUGCUUAGGAGAAAAACUGUGAGGAAAAGAAGGUGAACAAAUAGCCAAGAAGUGAUUUUUCCUAGCAGUUGAUACAGAGUAUAGACUGCUCCCUAAGGAAUGAAGAACCUCAAAGCCUGUUAUUCAGAGUUGUGAGUUAUCUUUAGCAUAUGGAUUUACUUCCCUGUUAGGUUGCUAUAAAUAUGUGUUAACUCUCCCUAAUACAUUGCUUGCUUUGGCCAGAGAGUGUGGGUUUAUGGGGAGACUAUAAUAAUUCAAUUAUUGUUGUUUUUGUCUUCUAUGAGUAAAAGUUAUGUUUAUCCUUACAUUUGCCUUUGCAAUGAGAAAUAUUUCAUGUUUGAGAGUCAUUGUUUGACCAUUGAUUCAUAGGAACUGUUGUCUAGUCUCACUUUACCAAUACUCUAUUUGUGAGGUUUAUUAUCUUUUAACUUAAGGGUAGAAUCUCAUAUUUUAUCCUAUUAGAAUUAUAGAACCAUAGAUGUAGAGAUGGAAGGGAUCACAAAGUCAUCUAGUCCAACUCCCUUAUCUAGAGUUAAGAAAACUGAGGCAUGGAGAUUUUAAGUGAUUUAUUCAAGGUCACAUAGGUAGGAAAUUAAAAAAUCAGAAUUUGACCCAGUUCCUCUGUCUUCAAAUCCAAAGUGUUCCUUAAUUUAGUCAAUUGUUGGAGUCAGUUGAAAUCUUUUUUGGAUCUUGAUUCUCAUUCAACAUGAUUGCUAUUCUUUCAAGAUUGUGGUAUACAUUGUCCAUUGGCUAAUUUGAUAAUCAUGCCAUGUAUUUGCUCAUUUAAGUUGGGUAUAAAAAAGAGCAUUGAC
rnacentral:lncRNA from 1 species